ACGUCAGUAAUUCAAGUGUCCAGGAUGCGACACCUGUCCCAUCUAUCAAAAGCACUGCGUUUCAUUUAAUUGAUUUGGGCUUCGGUGGUUUGUAUACGGGCUUAAUGUAACCCAGACGGAAUUAAGAGCAACAAUGUAGUUAAACGCUAAACUCGAUCUAGGGUUUUGACAGCGUUCUUUUCAUCUUCUGUCUAAAACUUCUCAGGCAAUGGAUAUCUAGCUCUCCCGAAACUAUAGUUGGUGUCUUUUUGGUUGUUGGUGUGUGCUUGACAAUUUGUGUCUGCUCGAUUUCUACUCCGGCUACCUUCUCUGAGAAACCGUCAAAGUUUGAUAAUUCACUUCUCCGACUUGAAGGCCGGCCGCUGCAAGUGUGUCGUUCAGAACUGACUCCGGAGGUCAGUUGAUGGCCAUCGAUAUGCUCCUUCUUGAUGCCAAUGUGAGUUAGCUAGGAGCAGCUACUGUCCAUGUCUGCACUUCUGAAGGUGAAACAGCUUCAGAUCCUUCACAAGGACACCCCAUAAUGGAAGUAGAAAUCAACCAGAGAACAAAAUUUCCGAGCUAUGUAUUAGGAUAGUGGUUAAGACAUUUACAUUGUCGUCUCCAGUUCCCAAACAAACAAAGGGUGCUGGAGCAGUCAAAAGGAGCCACAUUCCUUGAGCUAAGAUAACCCAUGUGGAUCAUGGUAGCUGUGUUGGCGAUGAAGCGGUUGAAGGUGGACUAGCUGAUGAAACUGCUGCUCCAGGUCACAACUCUGUUAAUGGAAGGUGAGGGGAGCAGUCACCAGUUAAGGAAGAUGGGUCCUCUUGAACGAAGGUACCAACUGAGUGACAUCCAAAGAGCAAGGGGAACCAAAGUUACAAGACAUGAUGACGUUUACGUUGCAUUUCCAGACAUUGUCAAGUCCGACUACUUCAAAACUUUAUGACAUUGGUUUCCCUGGUUUUUCUUAAACUCAUACCAUAUCAGACUUUUUCAGUUGUCAGAUAGGCGUCCUGUUGCCAAAAAGACCUUCUCCCUAACAAAUCAUAACAAGUGGUUUAAGAAACCCAGUCAACAAAUCAACG